UACGUAGGUGACAAGCGUUGUCCGGAUUUACUGGGCGUAAAGAGCGCGCAGGCGGUCGUCAAGUCGAUUGUGAAAUCCCUGGGCUCAACCUGGGAAUUGCAGUCGAUACUGGGGAGCUCGAGUUCGGUAGAGGACGGCGGAAUUCCCGGUGUAGCGGUGAAAUGCGUAGAUAUCGGGAGGAACAUCGAUGGCGAAAGCAACCGUCUGGGCCUGAACUGACACUGAGACACGAAAGCGUGGGGGAGCAAACAGG
rnacentral:rRNA from 1 species